UACGAAGGGGGCUAGCGUUGCUCGGAAAUCACUGGGCGUAAAGGGUGCGUAGGCGGGUCUUUAAGUCAGAGGUGAAAUCCUGGAGCUCAACUCCAGAACUGCCUUUGAUACUGAGGGUCUUGAGUAUGACAGAGGUGAGUGGAACUGCGAGUGUAGAGGUGAAAUUCGUAGAUAUUCGCAAGAACACCAGUGGCGAAGGCGGCUCA
rnacentral:rRNA from 1 species